AGCGAACACUAGCGGCAGGCCUAACACAUGCAAGUCGAGGGGUAGCAGGAUUAAGCUUGCUUAAUUGCUGACGACCGGCGCACGGGUGCGUAACGCGUAUGCAACCUACCUUAUACUGGGGCAUAGCCCGGAGAGAUUCGGAUUAAUCCCCCAUAGUACUAAUGAAUCGCAUGGUUUAUUAGUUAAAGCAUUGCGGUAUAAGAUGGGCAUGCGUCCUAUUAGCUAGAUGGUGAGGUAACGGCUCACCAUGGCUACGAUAGGUAGGGGGCCUGAGAGGGUGGUCCCCCACACUGGUACUGAGACACGGACCAGGCUCCUACGGGAGGCAGCAGUGAGGAAUAUUGGUCAAUGGGCGCAAGCCUGAACCAGCCAUGCCGCGUGCAGGAAGAAUGCCCUAUGGGUUGUAAACUGCUUUUAUUUGGGAAUAAACCUCUUUACGUGUAGAGAGCUGAAGGUACCAAAUGAAUAAGCACCGGCUAACUCCGUGCCAGCCGCCGCGGUAA
rnacentral:rRNA from 1 species